rnacentral:rRNA from 1 species
GACGAACGCUGGCGGCGUGCCUAACACAUGCAAGUAGGACGCAGUUGCGAGCGGGGGAGGAACGCGUAGGUAACUGCCUAGUAGAGGGGGGUAACUAUUGGAAACGAUAGCUAAUACCGCAUACUAGGAGAUGGACCUGCGUUGUAUUAGUUAGUAGGUAGGGUAAUGGCCUCCCAAGGCAACGAUACAUAGCCGACCUGAGGGGGUGAUCGGCCACACUUGGACUGAGACACGGCCCAGGCUCCUUCGGGGAGCAGCAGGAGGGAAUCUUCGGCAAUGGGGGGCAACCUGACCGAGCAACGCCGCGUGAGGUAAGAAGGUUUUUGGAUCUGAAAGCUCUGUUGUGAAGGAAGCGGUACCUAAACAGAAAGGGACGGCUAACUACGUGCCAGCAGCCGCGGUAAUAC